UGGGGAAUAUUGGACAAUGGGCGCAAGCCUGAUCCAGCCAUGCCGCGUGAGUGAUGAAGGCCCUCGGGUUGUAAAGCUCUUUCACCGGUGAAGAUAAUGACGGUAACCGGAGAAGAAGCCCCGGCUAACUUCGUGCCAGCAGCCGCGGUAAUACGAAUUGGGCUAGCGUUGUUCGGAUUUACUGGGCGUAAAGCGCACGUAGGCGGACUAUUAAGUCAGGGGUGAAAUCCCGGGGCUCAACCCCGGAACUGCCUUUGAUACUGGUAGUCUUGAGUUCGAGAGAGGUGAGUGGAAUUCCGGGUGUAGGGGUGAAAUUCGUAGAUAUUCGGAGGAACACCAGUGGCGAAGGCGGCUGACUGGCUCGAUACUGACGCUGAGGUGCGAAAGCGUGGGGAGCAAACAGG
rnacentral:rRNA from 1 species